GAUGAACGCUAGCGGCAGGCCUAACACAUGCAAGUCGAGGGGUAUUAGGAGCUUGCUCCUAAGAGACCGGCGCACGGGUGCGUAACGCGUAUGCAAUCUACCUUGUACAGGGGAAUAGCCCAGAGAAAUUUGGAUUAAUGCCCCAUAGUAUAAUUGAAUCGCAUGGUUUAAUUAUUAAAGUUCCAACGGUACAAGAUGAGCAUGCGUCCCAUUAGUUAGUUGGUAAGGUAACGGCUUACCAAGACAAUGAUGGGUAGGGGUCCUGAGAGGGAGAUCCCCCACACUGGUACUGAGACACGGACCAGACUCCUACGGGAGGCAGCAGUGAGGAAUAUUGGUCAAUGGGCGCAAGCCUGAACCAGCCAUGCCGCGUGCAGGAAGACGGUCCUAUGGAUUGUAAACUGCUUUUAUACAGGAAGAAACAACUCUACGUGUAGAGUCUUGACGGUACUGUAGGAAUAAGGAUCGGCUAACUCCGUG
rnacentral:rRNA from 1 species